rnacentral:lncRNA from 10 species
AUGGAUUUUUGCUCUUGUUGCCCAAGCUGGAGUGCAAUGGUGUGAUCUCGGCUCACUGCAACCUCCACCUCCCGGGUUCAAGCAAUUCUCCUGCCUCAGCCUCCUGAGUAGCUGGGAUUACAGGUGUGCCCCACCAUGCCCGGCUAAUUUUUUUUUAUUUUUAGUAGAAACGGGUUUUCACCACGUUAGCCAGGCUGGUCUCAAGUUUCUGACCUCAGGUGAUCUGCCCACCUUGGCCUUCCAAAGUGCUGAGAUUACAGACAUGAGCCACUGCACCCGGCCAUCCGUCUAGCUUUGAGGUUACAAAAUAGUGAUCCUCGGCUUGAGUGUGGCCCAAAGAUAGGUCUUGUUUGACCUGUAAAAUGUAUCUUAAUUAUUUUGGAAUUAGUUGUCCAUGUUUAAAGAUGAGAGAUCCAUGUACAAAUCUGGAUGUCUGAUUUGUCUUGGAAAAUGGGAUUAUCUGACAAUUUUGGUCUCAAAUUCAGACACUUCAGCAGCCUGCUAGAGCUGAACACCGGCUGUCCCCUCUGGGCAGCCACAGCCUCUAGGAUGUCCUGUUGUUCACCCCUGGCUCACAGAAUUCAUUUAUGCUGCUUGCCCUGUGCAAUAGGCAUUGAGUUUUUGGUUUUUGAUCUAUACCUACUUACCCUCCCACCUACAAACCACAUAGCCUACUCCUCACUGUUUAUUUAAACACAUGCCACUUUGUUGCACAAAGGACUUGAAGCUGAUUAUAGGAAAUAAAUAUGAAAUAAAAAGAGAUAAAGUAAUAAGAAAAACUGCCUCAGUAUAUGUUGAUUAGAUUAGGAGGUGAAGACCAUGGAGAAAAAGAGAACACAGAAAUCCAGGCCAUUUGUUUGAAGCAAUUACUACACUUGAGCUGCAAAUGGGCUCUGAGUUUUUACAAAUGUCUGUAAAAGGAAAACGUAACCAUUUCUUACGGGGAGCAAAGCUUUUCCUGUAACUUGUCUCUAAAAGAACAUUUCCAACUGUUUCUAUAUAUGUGGGGCUUGUUAACAAAGGACACAGAAAGCUGGUGCAUGAGAAGACUAAUUACAAAACAUGAGCUUGAUUAAGAAGCUCUGCCUUUGCAAGUCAUGUGACCAAAGUCAGGUUAGUUUAAACUGUUUUUUACCUCUCUGAUACUGGUAAUACCACCAGGCGAUGUCUAGGAAAGAGUGAGAAAACAUUUUACCAAAUCGAUUCAUCGAAAAGCAAAACACACUUUUAUUGUCAAUGGAGAGAGGCCGCUCUGAGGGUGUCCACGUCGUCCAGCUUGACAUAUGCGAAGAGCCUCUCAGUAGCAGAGCUGGAGCUGAGCUCCCUGUCCUUUUCCCAUGGUCAGAACAGGCAAGAGCAGUGGGUUGCCUCCCAGUGCCCAUGGCUCCCACAGGGGCUCAUUGAACAUGCCCUCAGCCAUGCAGUCAUGCAGCCUGCAGAGAUGGGAUGGCACAUGGCAGAGAUGUGCAAUGUUGGAUGGGUCCUUGGAAACACUCGCAUGUUUGACUGAGGAGAGGCUUAUAAGAUACCCUCCACAAUCAGGAGGCCCCCAUUCCCCCUCUCUGCUUCUUUGUGAUUGGAAACUGCAUAUCUUGUAGGAUUAUUUGUUUGCUCACUCCACCCAAUAACUGUCAAUGAAGUAUCUACUAGGUACAAGUCAGUGAAUAAAACAGCUCUGUUCUCUGUUCUCUUGGAGCUUACAGUCUACAAGUUUUUGAUUCUUUCUUCCCCCAUUAAGCUUGAUUAGUAACCAGAUGCAGAAAAAGAAAAGGGUAGUUGCAGAAGAGGGUUAGCCCAUUAGGAUGUGUGGCAGAGUGGAUGCCGGCCAAGUCCCCCAUUAUGCAGAAUAUAAAAUACAAGACAAAAUACCAGACCUGGAAAAUUAUCCAUGGCACAGUGGAGCUGGGUGAGUCCAAGGUCCCAGGGAGCUCCACUAGAUACUCUCCUGCUGGCCUUUGUGGGUCUAUUUUGUGGUUGGCCUGGAUUUCCUCUGUAGGCUCUUAUUUGAACUUCCGCCUGUCUUGCAAGCACCCCUGGCCACGAGUGUGUAAGGCAGCUCAGCCACCAUCUUGAGUGUGUAUUAGUUUCUCUCCUGUCCCCCAAUCUGCAACCCAGACAGCAGAGGCUUAUUUUCCUGCUGCUCUUCAAAGUGAUCGUAUAGGUGGGCAUCCAUUGGAGUGUUUUCACUCAUUUCCUGACCUGUAUUCCACGUGAGACACUUACUUUGCUGGAUUUAGUUGCCCCUUUGAUCCUUCUGGUGAGGUGGCAUUUGUAUUUAUUUAUUUUUUAUAAAUAUACUUUAUUUUUAGAGCUGUUUCAGGUUACAGAAAAAUUGCACAGAAAAUAUAGAGAGUUUGUGUAUAUUCCGCCCUCACAGUUUCUCCUAUUAUUCACAUCUUGCACUGGUGUGGUAUAUCUGUUCCAGUUGAUGAACCGGUAUUGAUAUGUAGAUAUUAACUAAAGCCCAUAGUUUACAUUAGAGUUCAUGCUUUGUGUUGUACAGUUCUGUGGGUUUUGACAAAUGCAUGACGUCAUGUAUCCACUGUUACAGCAUUACGCAGAAUAGUUUCACUACCCUGAAUGCUUUGGUAGCAUUUUAAUAUAGAUAUGUUUAGAAGCAUUGACAUGCUCUGGUGUGCCAGGAAUGUCUUAGGUAUUAGGAGAGAGAUGAAAAGACAUAAUACCUGUUUACAUGAGUUCUCACACUGGUGAGGAGGCAUACACAUAGACCAUGGAUUAGAAACUCAAAUGCCAGUAGUCAUUGGCAGGUAAUUCAGAUGAGGACAGAUGAUGAGUGUACAACUAUAGAGAGUGGUAGGAACUGAGAACUGGAGAGUAACUGCUCCAUGAAAGGGAAACAGUUGUUACUCAACCAGUUGUUAUCAUGCAGUCAUUUAAGCCCAGUGAGUCCAGAUCUUUAGAUUUUUCAAGAGAUGCCAUAAUUAACGAUGGUUUGUUUCCUGGUUCUUAGCUGUUAUCAAUGAAUUUGGUGUUUAGCACAUACAGCAUGUACCAUAUAUAACACACCUUUGGGAAGGAUGUUGUUGGUUGCUGGUCUAGAAUUUUUCAUUGGCAAAUCAUUUCAAAACAGUGUUGACAUGUUUAAGAACUGGGAGCUGAGGGGAGGAAGCUCUUAGUGCCUCCUGGGUGGCAUGGGACUAGAAGGGAUGUCAGAGAAGGCUUCAAGGGAGGUGAUAAUUCAGUUGAGUGUUGAAGAAUGAGGGAACAAGGGAAGAGCAUAUGCAAAGGCAUAGAAGCUGAAGAUCCCAGGAAUGGUGAGCUCUCCUAUGCAGGGGUGGAAUCCCUUGAGAACAACUGGAUAAAAAGGAUUUAAAAAAAAAUCUCAUCAUUUUUGAAGGCUUUGGAGAGCUACCAAGGCAGCCUGCAUGAAAACAGCUCAGUCCCUGUUUGGAUUUAUCUGCCUUUGCUCUAUUACCUUUCUGAAGCUGAAGACUCAACCAGAUAGGUGGCAGUGGAGAAACUUCCCACUGUUUCUCCUUUGAACCCAGCUGGACACCACCCUGAAGUUCCAGUACAUGGAGAUAGCCAGUAAAUGAACAAUUGAUGACCUGUGUUGAAGAGAGAGGGCAUGUUGCCUAGGGUAAUGGCCACCAGCAAACACAACCCUCUGGAUGAAAGACUGUUGAUCAUCUCAGUCCGUGGAACAGAACAGGGGGUCUGUGGGUGGUGGACACCAGAAGCAUAGGGCCUGGAACAUUAGUGAACAGACAUAACAACUGAUGGCCACUAAGGACAUUUCCUGGCUCUGGCUCCUCUGCCCUUAAGAAUCCGGACAGUCCAUGAGCACUGUUACGGGCCAUCUCUUAGCUGAAGAAGUCAACUGGGCAUUACCCUCCACUGGAACAUGAACUUCCAGAUGCAAGGAGUGCAGUCAGUUCAUCUGAGAAUGUAUAUCCGCCUGCCCAGAGGCAGGGAGAAGAUGGCAAGGUGCUAUCCUCUCCAGGAUUCAGCUCUGAAGCCUCUUAACUGUGCACUUAAUAAAUGAAGCCUUGGCAGACACACCUUGAAUUAUUAAUGAAGUUAUUCAGCUUUGAUUGUUUCCUUCUUUUGGGGAAAGGUUAUUCACUCAAAUGCCUUUGAUUAGACUACACAAUACAUCACAAUUGGGCAUAUUUUAUGUGCAACUUUAUGGCGAUAAUAGUUCUGUCUCAUUUAGAAGCAAAUCAGACAUUAUGAACUUCGUGAUUUAUUAAUGUAUUGAUUUCUAUAAAUGUCAGCGCAUCUCACAUCCUGCCAGAGAGCCCGGGAGCAAUCAGUGAAAGGCCAAUAAAAAUGUAAAAUGAAACCAUCAUAAAAAGAGGAAAUACUGCCUGUUUCCAAGCCCUGCUGCCUCUCUAUAUUGUCUCAGGGUCUACAUCAUUACCAUGAAGGCAUCCCCCCACCUACAAGGAAACAGCCUUGAUGGUGGGGGAGGGGGCUCUAUCCUGCUUAAAUCUAUUUUAAAUAAAAAGAAGGUUGUAUGGCAGGAGAAAUAAAAAACAAGAGGUGAAGAGUGGGACCUGGAGGGGCCCCAGGGCUAGUGCCUAGAUUCCUCACCCUGGAGAAAGCAGGAGGAGGAGGAGGAAUCCCUUUCCAUCAGAUUCACCCCACAACAACCCCCCACCUUCCUGCUGAGGAACCUUCAAGACAGAGCCUAGAUUUUCCUGCUGGCGCUGAAGAGUCCACGCUAGGGCCCUGGUCUACCUUUCCAGACGAUUCCCCAAUUCUGAGCCCAGUACAUUUCAGCCUUAUACUUUACAGAGUACUUUCACAUUGCUUAACCCCUGUGAGGUAUGCAUAAUAUUAUUCUCAUUUUACCGAAGAGAAGACGGAGGCUCAGAGAAGAAAGAGAAAAGGUGACACUUCUGAGCACUGCCUAUUUGCAGAGCACUGUGACAUGUACUUUGCUUACAUGAUCUCACUUAAUUCUCUCAUAGCUUUAAUUGUUGAUUUCUUAUUAGCUAAUUAUUGUUCCUAUUUUAUUAGGAGAAAUUGAAUCAGCAAUUUCAGGAGGCAUCCUUGGGGUCACAGAGAC